UACAGAGACUGCAAGCGUUAUUCGGAUUCACUGGGCGUAAAGGGUGCGCAGGCGGCCUAGUGUGUUAGGCGUGAAAGCCCGGGGCUUAACCCCGGAAUUGCACCUAAAACUACAUGGCUAGAGCAUUGGAGAGGGUAGCGGAAUUCACGGUGUAGCAGUGAAAUGCGUAGAGAUCGGAAGGAACACCAGUGGCGAAGGCGGCUACCUGGACAGAUACUGACACUGAGGCGCGAGAGCGUGGGGAGCAAACAGG
rnacentral:rRNA from 1 species